UACAGAGGUCCCAAGCGUUACUGAGAAUCACUGGGUUUAAAGGGUGCGUAGGUGGUCCGUUAAGUCAGUUGUGAAAUCCCCGGGCUCAACCCGGGAACUGCUUCUGAUACUGGCGGACUUGAGGCCAGUAGGGGUCACUAGAACUGACGGUGGGGCGGUGAAAUGCGUAGAUAUCGUCAGGAAUGCCGGUGGUGAAGACGGGUGACUGGGCUGGUUCUGACACUGAGGCACGAAAGCGUGGGGAGCGAACGGG
rnacentral:rRNA from 1 species